UGGGGAAUAUUGCACAAUGGGCGAAAGCCUGAUGCAGCAACGCCGCGUGAGUGAUGAAGGCCUUCGGGUUGUAAAGCUCUGUCUUUUGGGACGAUAAUGACGGUACCAAAGGAGGAAGCCACGGCUAACUACGUGCCAGCAGCCGCGGUAAUACGUAGGUGGCAAGCGUUGUCCGGAUUUACUGGGCGUAAAGGAUGCGUAGGCGGAUUUUUAAGUGAGAUGUGAAAACCCUAAGCUUAACUUGGGGACUGCAUUUCAUACUGGAAAUCUAGAGUGCGGGAGAGGAGAAUGGAAUUCCUAGUNUAGCGGUGAAAUGCGUAGAGAUUAGGAAGAACACCAGUGGCGAAGGCGAUUCUCUGGACCGUAACUGACGCUGAGGCAUGAAAAGCGUGGGUAGCAAACAGGAUUAGAUACCCUGGUAGUCCACGCCGUAAACGAUGAGUACUAGGUGUAGGAGGUAUCGACCCCUUCUGUGCCGCAGUUAACACAAUAAGUACUCCGCCUGGGAAGUACGAUCGCAAGAUUAAAACUUAAAGGAAUUGACGGGGUCAUAGCUGUUUCC
rnacentral:rRNA from 1 species